UUCCUUUAAAGAUACCGCGCAGAAUAUC
rnacentral:piRNA from 1 species